CGGACGAGUGAGUAACGCGUGGAAAACCUGCCGUAUACUGGGGGAUAACACUUAGAAAUAGGUGCUAAUACCGCAUAAGCGCACAGCUUCGCAUGAAGCGGUGUGAAAAACUCUGGUGGUAUACGAUGGUUCCGCGUCUGAUUAGCUAGUUGGUGGGGCAAUGGCCUACCAAGGCAACGAUCAGUAGCCGGCCUGAGAGGGUGAAGGCCACAUUGGGACUGAGACACGGCCCAAACUCCUACGGAAGGCAGCAG
rnacentral:rRNA from 1 species